AGCCUACCUCCUAUUUAAAACAUCAGUAAAUAUUUGUCUGAGGAGCUAAUGGUCUCAAUCACUAGUUUCAGGUUUUCUUGAAUAGAAUAUAAUGUUUGGGUCACAAGUGGACACCAGUGUGAUGGAUUCCUAGUUGCAGGCUACGCCUCUGAACUUCCAGUUGCGAAAUGUUGCCAUGGUGCCAGAUCCUCUUCACGAGGGAUGCGUGGGUUCCUUUCACACACUGUUGUGGAGUGUGAUAAUGACGACUGAUCAUUGUGAUUGAUCACUGAGCAUGUUUACAGUUUAAUCUCCUGCACUUUGCAGCAGCGAUGACGAGCUGUUGCACGCAGCUGAAGGAUAAGGUUCUUCAGACUACAUCUACAGUACCUGCUGAAUAACUCUCUGGAUAUUUAGAGGAAGGGGAUCAGUAGAGGCUGAGGUCUACCCCACCAGGCAGGAUUCCAGGUGUAGGCUGUGUAAAGAUGCCCCUGAGACUGUGUGUGAAUCCUGGCUAAGAAGGCACACAUGGAACAGCACGACCAAGUGGCUGGAAUAGUUUACAGAAACAUCUGCACAGAGUAUGGACAAAGGUGGCUGACAGAAUGACAGAGCUAAGAUCCUAUGGGACAGAUCCGCAAGUCCCAUGGGAGAGUGGUCCCAAAAGAUUCCAAGAACGACAUCUGAGAUGCCUUUCCAGAAGAGAACAGUCCUGUAGGAACAGCUAAGAUACUGUGCAGAGCUCCCAGACCUCUGGUAGAGAACCCAGGCUUGGAUGAGACACCAAAUGGGUUCAACACAACAACGGCGUAUACUUAAAACAGUCUUGACUCUUGACCGGCCAACCACCUACAUCUCCUGCUGCUGAAAACGCUGGCAGAACUCCAGUUGCCAGGAGACCAGCGACACUUCUGGAAGAGUCCAUCUGGACUUGACGGGAGGUUAUCAACCCAAUGACUACGCUGAGCCCCGGCCGUGGUAGUAUACAGCCUGUCAGCUCUCGUCAACAAAGUGCCUAAGACAGUAAGAAAGGGUUGAUGCUGGAUUUCUUAAAGGGGCACAUCCAUGAGCUCAUCUUCAUCUUAAUAUUCGACGGGGAUCUGUAAACACUUGGCGUCGGUGAAGCUCACGGGCGUCGUCGUCUCGUUCGCGGACGUGCAGUUGUCAUCGCCAGAAAAGGUCAGUGAA